UCAUAAUGAAUUCAUCACCGAUUACAGUUUACACGACCCGAGUUUAAUUAACAAAGAACUGCUAGAUCCACGUGUGUUUCAAUCACUAUGCAGUACAUUCUGAAGUGACGGAAAGCUUGAAGAUAUUGUAUUGUGGUCCGAAUUGAGGGCAAUGAUUCGCAUAAAG